rnacentral:lncRNA from 1 species
AAACUUAUUUGAACUAUAAACCAUUUUGAAUGGCUAUCUGACCGUUCAAAAUUUUAAUUUUUACUAUCAAAAUUUUCAAUUUAUUUAAUUUGAGUUAGUCAACGAUAGUUACUUUAACAUAAUUACUUACUUUACUAAAUUUAUAGCUAUGAGAAUCGCAUGAAAUAUACUGACUAAAGUUAUAAUUAAAGAUAAAUAAUGAAUUUACAUUUUGAAGUUAAAGUGUCGUCGACUAACUUAAAUCAAACAAAUUGAAAGAUGGGAUAGUAAAAUUAAAAUUUUAAAAGAUUAGUUAGUCACUUAAUUAUAUACAACGAUACAUAUG